rnacentral:rRNA from 1 species
AUACGGAGGAUCCAAGCGUUAUCCAGAUUUAUUGGGUUUAAAGGGUGCGUAGGCGGACUGGUAAGUCAGCUGUGAAAGUUUGCGGCUUAACCGUAAAAUUGCAGUUGAUACUGUCAGUCUUGAGUGUGCACGAGGUGGGCGGAAUUUGUGGUGUAGCGGUGAAAUGCUUAGAUAUCACGAAGAACUCCGAUCGCGAAGGCAGCUCACCGGGCCGGAACUGACACUGAUGCUCGAAAGUGCGGGUAUCAAACAGGAUUAGAUACCCUGGUAGUCCGCACAGUAAACGAUGAAUACUCGCUGUUUGCGAUACACUGUAAGCGGCCAAGCGAAAGCGUUAAGUAUUCCACCUGGGGAGUACGCCGGCAACGGUGAAACUCAAAUGAAUUGACGGGG